GCACAAUUCUGAAAACGAAAAAAAACAGAUAUGAAUACACUACAUGCAUAUCAUUUCAAUAACUCUCACAAAGUAAAUAAUAAUAUUUAUGAAUACAAUGUUGAUAAAACAACAGAAUAUUGUCCAAAGCAAAAGGGAAAAAAAAAGGAAAAAAGAAAGAAGAAGAAGAUACGUGUAUAUAUAUAUAUGAAAAGCCUUCAUAACUAGAGCUAGAAAAAGGAACCAUAAUUUAGAAGAGUCCAAAGCUCUGUUAAGCCAGCCAUGAAAACCCUGAAAUCUGUACAUUCCUAGCCCAUUUUAAUACUCUUUACUACUUAAUGUUAAGUUAGAAGCAAUAAAUUACAAAACAGCUCAGAAACUUAUUGAUUAGAACACACAAUAAUGACAACAAAUUUAUAGAGCCCUGAGGCCCUCAAUCAAAACAUUAAUAUAGACCCUGAACAGGAAGGGAAGAAAAGUGUAAUAAUUUUCUGAUGUUUCUUUUGAUUUGUAGGAGUUUUAACCUUGCAAUAGGCUCCGGUUUGAGGCUUCCAACUUCCAAGCAUAAACUUUAUGAAGAAAAAGCUACAGGAAAGAACUAACUACAGGUCUCUCUUUGAAGGAUCGUAAUUGUUGAAUUUUCUGAACUUAAUGCGAAUCCUAUUUCUGCUGGUGCUAAGGUAUUAAUACAAAAUAACUGAUACAUUGACCCUGUUAAUUAAACUUUUCAAACUUAAAAUACAGAAUUUAGUACUUAAUUACAAUACCUUCAAAUUUUUAAGAAAACUAAAUAUCAUCACAGACAUUAAAAUAUCUGUAAUGGCAAUUGCAUUAUGUAAUAGAUGUGCUGUCAGAACUGUUGUUUUUCGUAAUCUUGAAAACAAAUUUAUAGAGCCCCUUAGUCAAAACAUAGAAUAAAUACCCUGAACAGAAAGGGAAGAAAAGUUUAAUAAUUUUCUCAUGUUUCUUUUGAUUUGUAAGAGUUUUAGGCUUGCAAUAGGUUGCAAGUUUGAGGCUUCCAAGCAUACACUUUAUGAAGAAAAAGCUAAAGGAAAGAACUAACUCCAAGUCUCUUUUUCAAGGACCGUAAUUGUACAACUUUCUGAACUUGAUGCAAAUCCUAUUUAUGCUAGUGCUAAGGCAUUAAUACACAUUAAUUAACUGACAUAUUGAACCUGUUAUUUAAUCCUUUCAAACUUAAAAUACAGAAUAUAGUACUUAAAAACAAUAUG
rnacentral:misc_RNA from 1 species